UGGUACUUCCAUCCAAUUUAUGUCCAUAAUUCCGUUAACUUGUUGACGUGGCACCGGCCGAACUUCGGACCGAAGUUUGAUUUUAUGAAAUCUUUACCCGGAAAGUUUGAUCUGUUAUCUAAAAAGUUUGAUACGCUGCAGGUUUGGUUUGCUCAGGAGGCCAACAUGAAUAUAUAUAUCUAACUAUGAACAUCGAUCAGGAAAUAUGGUUUCAAAAUAUGGAGUUUUGGAGAGUCGUCGUCUAUUUGUCCAAAUAUGACUUUGGAGAGUCGUCGCCCAUUUGUCCAAAUAUGACUU
rnacentral:lncRNA from 1 species